rnacentral:lncRNA from 1 species
AACAAAGGGACGAGAGACGCGCAACUCCGCUCCGCACUGUGCGCCAGCAUCCCCGGGGCACGGAGGGCGCUGCGGCCCGCCCGGAGACCCCCCCACCCAGGCUGGAUCCGGGCCCUGGGGCCCAGGGAGCGGCUUUAAAGAGUAAGAGCAGCGCACCCGGCUCCCUCCUGCUAAUUAGAUUUCAGAUUCCCCUCUGGCCUCAGUGCUCAUUCCGGGGAAGACACCUGCUGAGAUGUCUUUUUCCCCCUCCCCCAACCAAACCACUCAGGUCCUACCUGCUCUUUCCCGGCUUGAUGCGGGCGUGUUUUCCUGUAUGUAUUUUUUCGUGCGGCCACAAAAAGCAUCAGCUGGGGUUCCCGAAGGUCAGAAAAUGGCUAUUGAUUAAUCUACUAGAAUAGUUGCCGAGAGAAAUAAAAACGACGUAAAAUAGCAGGGAACCUAUAAAUAAAGAAGCCAUAACUGGCUACUUGGAGUUGUUAAACGACUUAGCAUAUGAAAAAAUCGGAAAUGAGGCGCUGGGGAAGGAGCUGGGAUUGGCAGCGGCCUGGGUGUGGACAAAUCCUCCAAGAUUUAACUUCCAAGAAAACCGGCGGCGGAGCGGGUGGAGGAGGCGAGGAUGUGUGGCCAAUGCACGCGGAGUGCAAGGCCGCCUAGUUGGGAGCCGCAAGAGCCUGCCUGGUGUGGCAGGCACACGGAACCCAAUCCCUGUCUGUCCGCUGCGGCCUGGGAGGGGAGCGCCGGCCUCACCAGAGGAAGGAGCACGAGGGGAGGAGUUCCGAGAGGAAAUAAUUAGUGAAAUAUUUGCAGAAGAUGCUGGGAUGUGGAUUUAAUUCCGGAUGGACAGUGGUGCUUCUGAUUCCCUCAGUCUGUUUCCCCACCCACGAUCUCCUCUUUCCUUGGCCUAGACACACCAAAAAUAAUUCAAUAAAAUAAAAAUAAAAAUUUAAAAAUC